ACUCACCCACAGGUGCAGGGUGGCUCCCUCCCGACAAGGAAGCCCCAGCCCACACUGGCAGCUGCCCAAGGGCCUGGGGCGCUCGUGUGCACAGGCCACUAAAGUCACCCAAUGCCAGCCAGCCUUGGUGAAAAUUACCAUUUGCUCAACUGAGAUACUGGGUCCAUGACUCCAAGGGGAGCUCGUUCUGGUUGCUCUGGGUAUAGAGACUCUGAACUGUCCUGCCACGUAAAGAGAACAGUCUCGUUUCUCACACUCUGCGAAAAGACAGGUACGUGGCCCGCUCGCUGCCUUCUCCAGCCUUUGCACAAAGAACUUACAGCUUUUGAGUACAACCCACAGCUUACAGGGUCUUAGAAGCAAAAUUCGUGUUUGGAGCAAUUGUCAGACUGCAGCUUGGCAACACACUUCCUAUGUGCCUUUGCUACUAUUUGAACAACUGCUAUCAGCUGGAAGGGUUAUUCCCUCCUGCCGUUAGGGCAUUGCUUUCCCUGGAUCUAGAACAAGACUGACCAGAUGUGUCUGGAGUUGGUUGCUGCCAUUGGGUUCUUCGUUUCGCUGACCAAAAAUGAAGCCGUGGACCUUCCCGGAACAAAAAGGGUGGAAAAAUUAAGAGGUGGCCUCAGUCCUGUCCACCCUGGGCGAGGUGGUCAGAUCCUGCUGGCGACUGCAGCUGUUUCUCUCAGGAGGAUGAUGAAUACCCUACAGAUGGCAGCUGCUCCUGUUCUCAGGAGCCUGGUCAUUAGGAAGAAAAGGAUAAAAACCCCAAACCUGUUAUCUACUGAGCAAUUCUGAGCUGCUCUGGAAAUUUGAAAGGCACUGGGAAGAAAAGUGUCACCAGUUCUGCUGGGACGGGGCCAGGGUGUGGGUGGGGGAUUCGGGCAGGGCUGGCUGCUCGCUCGCCCCCUCCCUCCCUGGAGGGCCCACUCUGCACUCCUGCCCUUCUUCCAACUUUUCCUCCUUCUUAUUAUCUUCGGAUCUUCCUUCUGUUCCUCUACAGCUGAGCCUUCCUGAGGAGGUAAAGGAGUGUCCCUGGUGCUUGGGCAAAUGGAACCGGUUCAGCCCAUGCUGUCACCACGUGCAGGGCCCUCUCUCAGUGUGACUGGUGUGACAGGAGGAAGAAGGGCAGUGAGCCGUGGCCCAGCUAUUGCAGGGACAGCCAGAGCAGCUUCCUGCAGUGCAAGCCCUGCCUGACGCCCUUCUGCCUUUCUCAUCGGGUCUCAGCUCGUCCUGGCCACACCCGUCCAGGCCUUUUCUGCAGGAAAGGAACUUUUGCUCAACCAUCCAUUUUGAAAGUGGAGACUCUAUCUCCAUUCUAACGCUCCUUUUCUUUUAGACUUUUAAACACAUUUUUUUUUUUUAAUAGAGACAGAGUCUCGCUCUGUUGCCCAGGCUGGAGUGCAACAGUGCGAUCUUGGCUCACUGCCAACCCCCCGCCUCCCGGAUUCAAGUGAUUCUCUUGUCUCAGCCUCCCAAGUAGCUGGGACUACAGGCAUGUGCCACCACAUCCGGCUAAUUUUUUUUUUUUUUUUUGUAUUUUUAGUAGAGACGGAGUUUCACCAUGUUGGCCAGGCUGUUGUCGAACUCCUGACCUCAGGUGAUUCGGCCUCCCAGAGUGCUGGGAUUACAGGCGUCAGCCACCGCGCCUGGCCUAAACACAAUUUUACUGUGAAAACAAAACUGGAAACUGGAUGGUGUAAUGAUCUUCUACAUACAAUCGUCCCGCAGUAUUUGUAGGGGAUUGGCUCCGGGACCCCCAAAGAUAACAAAAUCUGAAAAGACUCAAAUCCUUGAUAAAAUGGUACAGUAUUUGCAUGUAACCUCCACGCACCAUCCUAUAUACUUUAAAUCAUUUCUAGUUUUCUUGUAAUAUCUAAUACCAUGUAAAUGCUAUGAAAUAGUUGUUAUAUUGGUUUUUAUUUGCAUUAUUUUUUAUUAUUGUAUUUAAAAAUUUUUUUUCCAGAGUAUUUUCAAUCUGCAGUUGGUUGAAUGGGCAGAUAGAUACAGAACCCGUGGGUAAUGAAGGCCAAAUGUACUAUCUUGAUUCAAUAAUUGCUAUGCUAACAUUUCUCCACAUUUGAUUUAAUUUCAACACACACACACUCUAAAUAUGUUUGUUGCUCUACCAUUUGAGAUUAAGUUGCAGACAUUGUAGUAAAGUUGGCAUUGCAGAUUGGCAGAGGAAAGAUGGGCUCUUUAGUGAAUUAUAUUGGGACAGCUGUCCCGCCUCUUCAGGGAAAAAUAAAUUGUAGCCCUAUUGAACUCUUUGACCAAAAUUAAUUCUGGAUGAAACAAAAAUUUAAAUCUGAAAAGUGAAAUAAUAAAAAUGCUAGAGGAGAGUAUAGGUGACUAUUUUUAUAAUCCUGAAACAAGAAAAGCCUUUCUAAACAUGCCACAAAAUCACAAGUCAUGAAAAAAAAAACAGAUAAAUAUGACAAUAAAAAUAAAUACACAUAGGCCAGGUGCAGUGGCUCAUGCCUGUAAUCUCAGCACAUUGGUAAGCUGAGGUGAGCAGAUUGCUUGAGUCUAGAAGUUGGAGACCAGCCUGGGCAACAUGGCAAGACCCUGUCUCUACAAAAAAUUUUUUAAAAAGUAGGCACGGCAGUGCACGCCUGUGGUUCCAUCCACUCAGGAGGCUGAGGUGGAAGGAUCGCUUGAGCCAGGGAGGUGGAUGCUGGAGUGACCCAAGAUCAUGCCACUGUACUCCAGCCUGGGUGACAGAGCAAGACCCUGUCGCAAAAAAUACAUACAUAUAUACACCCAUACAUAUAUAUGGGUAAGUAAAGUGUAAACUGUGCCUCUUUACUGACUUUAAACAAAAAGCAAUAGUCAUGUUUCACUUAACAACAGGGACACAGUCGAAGAAAUGCGUUGUUAGAUGAUUUCAUUGUUAUGAGAACAUCACAGAGGGCACUUACACAAGCCUAGAUGGUCCAGCCUCCGACACACCUAGGCUAUAUGGUGUAGCCUGCAGCUCCUAGGCUACAUACGUGUACAGCAUGGCACUGUGCUGGAUACAGUAGGCAGCUGUAACACAGCCAUGAGUAUUUGUGCAUGUAAACAUAGAAAAGGUACAGUAAAAAUGUGAUAUUAUAAUUUUAUGGGACCACUGUUAUAUACGAUCUGUUGUUGACCAAAAUGUGGUUAUGUGGUUCAUGACUAUACUUAUGGAUAGCACAUCAAGUCAAUGGGGAGAAUAUUUUGUCACGCAUUAAUAGUAAAAGUAGUUCUCUUAAGAUACAAAGAGCUCUUGCAGAUCAGUUUUUAGAAGAUGACAAAUCUAAGGUCAGAGCUCAGUAACUGACAGUUCCUGGAAGAACAAUGGCCAAUAAGCAUAAAGACAUACUCAACUUCACCACCACCGAAGAAAUGUCUGGAAGACAGCGAGUCAUCAGUUCCCUUCAUGGAUUGUCUCAGAUUGGCCAAGACUAAAAUGAGGGAUAAUCCCUGGGGCUGGGCAGGUGUUAAGAAGCACAUUCUCAUCUGCCACUGGAAGAGAGUAAAGUGGUUCUGCCCUCUUACAGACAAUUGAGAAAAAAAAAAUUGAAAAUAAAACUUUGAAAGCCUUUAGACCCAGCUCAGCAAUCCUGCUGCUGAAGAUUUAUCUCACAGAAAAAAAAAAAAUGCAAGCAAGCGUGUGAGUUGCGGCCUACAGGGAUGUUUGCUGCAGCACUGGGGGGAAACCUGGAAAUGGCGCCCUAUUCACUGGAUGCAGGUGGCAGGUGAGCUCUCACAGUGGGGCUUAGCCCCUGAGGGUUCUUGGCUUCACCCAGGAAAGAAUGCAAGGGCCAGCUGGUGGCAUUAUGCAGCCACUUUUCCUGAACUGGGCCAGGGCUGACUCCUCAGCAGUGCACCCGGAGUCAGCAGCAUAUGGGCUGAGGCAGCUGCACUCACAGCCACUUAUACUGACUUCUAAUGACAUGCACAUUAGGGGCAGGUUAUUUGGAAAUCUCUAAGGAAAAGGCAGCAACUUCCACAGCAUUUGUAAACUGUCAUGGUGCUGAUGGGAGUGUCUUGUGCUAAUGGACAAUGAGGGCAAGGAGAGGUUGCUUUUAGGGCCAUGUGCUAGUUCCCACGGGUUUCCUCCUUCAUCCCGUGGGGACCAGGAAAUAAGUCCUGCAGGCCUCUGACCUCAAACUAAGAUGGGAAUAACGCACAAAGGGUGGAAAACCCCAGCCUGGCCAUGACGUGUGGUCACAAAGCACAAAGCAGAGGCACACAGUGACUCCUGCAGCUCAGCAUGGGACCUGGGGCUCAGAGACGGAACCUAGGGGCUGGGUCCCUGCUGUGCGUUCUGACUCCACGGCACCCUCUCUCACUGUGACCUCGUAUGGGCCGCUUUGCCUCUGUGUGUUCACAUUCUCAUCUUGAUGAAGGGAGCACAAGUAUCCAGCUUGCCAUGGGCUGAAGUGUACCCCCCAAAUUCAUAUGUUGAAGCCCCAAUCCCUAACAGGAUGGUACUGAAACCUGCCCUAGGAUUAGACAGGAUUUGUUAACCAGCAAAAUUUCUUGAGCUCAUUUUGCAGGACAGUGGAGAAGACGACAAUUUGCUACAAUCCCCUCUAUUUGCAACUAAGUGGGCUGCCAGGAGGGACCAGUUGGAGCCAACAUGGCUGACUAGAGUCUGCAGAGUGCACUGACUCACCCACGAGCCACCUUUUGAUGUCAGAGGGCCCAAAACCCCACUUCCAGGUCAUGCUAAUGCCAACAUUGUUUUUAAACAUGCAACCCAUGAAGCAGCAGGUAGGGCGACAGUGAGUGACCGAGGGACUCAACAAAGCCCCUUCCUUCCAGCCAAUCUUCGUCCCGCCCCGAAACCCCACCCUCAAAAUCUCUCUCUUACAUCUAUGGUGGCAAGGCCAGUGGGAAGACAGAUAGGAACAUUUCCUCCGGUCUCCAUGUCACUCAACUGGCAAUAAAGCCUUCCUAUUGCAAAAACUUGGUGCUUCGGUGUUUGGCUUCCGUUCCUUGAGGGCAAGUGGACCCAGUUUGGUUGGGUGACAGAAGGGGCCCCCAGUCCCUGGGCCACGGACCAGUACCUGUCCAUGGACUGUUAGUAACUGGGCCGCACAGCAGGAGGGGAGCAGCAGGUGGGUGGGUGAGCAUGACCGCCUGAGCUCUGCCUCCUGUCAGAUCAGCAGUGGCAUUAGUUCUCAUAGCAGCGCACUCUAUUGUGAACUGCGCAUGUGAGGAAUCUGGGUUGCACACUCCUUAUGAGAAUCUAACUAAUGCCUGAUGACCUGAAGUGGAGCUGAGGCGGCGAUGCUAGCACUUGGGAGUGGCUGCAAAUACAGAUGAACAUUAGCAGAGAGGUUUGACAGCACAGAGACCAUCAUAAAUCAAUUGCUUGCAGAGUCAUAUCAAAACCCUAUCUGUGAGUGGCAAGUGACAAGCUGCAUGCAGUGGCAGGCUUUAUUGAGGCAAGUGAGCUGAUGGACUUCAAUUGUACAGCUGCAUCUGGUGGCCUUCAAAGUAUGUUUGCGACAACUUCAAAUCUCCAUACGUUCUGGAUUACAGCCAAGGCAGAAUCUCCUGUGAUUGUUCCCAAAGCACUGAAAAGCCCACUUCCAUUUCCAAUAUCCUGUGUUUGUGAAGCAGAGUUUUCUGCAAUGACAUCGACCAAAACGAGAUUACAGAGCAGACUGGACAUUAGCAACACACUUCGGGUGUCAUCGUCUUCCAUCACCACCAGAUGGGACCGUCUAGUUGCAGGAAAACAAGUUCAGGGCUCCCACUGAUUCUACAUUAUGGUGAGCUGUAUAAUUAUUUCAUUAUACGUUAGAGUGUAAUAAUAAUAAAGUGCACAAUAAAUGUAAUGCGCUUGAAUCAUCCCGAAACCAUCCCUGCAACCCAGUCCAUGGAAAAAUUGUCUUCCACAAAACCAGUUCCUGGUGCCAAAAAAGGUUGGGGACUGCUGAGUGAUAGUACCAGGAGGCGGGGCCUUUGGGAAGUGAUCAGGCUUCAUAAGGCGAUGAGGGUCUGGCCCAUGAUGGGAUUGGCGCUCUUAGAGUGACAGCAGAGAGUUUGUUCUCUCCCUCUCCCUCCCUUUCCCCUCUCCGCUCCUCCUGGUCCCCACAGAGGGACUAACCAUGUUCCCAACUACCCCAUGAAGAGCUUUUUCUUCAACAAAACCUGCCACUUUGAAGUUGUCUCAAGAAAUUCUCUCCAAAGCAAGCCUGUCAUCCAGCUCUAGAUUCCAGGCUUUGAGGAAUCCAAAGAUAGCAGAGGUUUCCCUUAUUAAAAGAAAAGCCCCUGGUCCUGGUGCCUGAUAGCCCAGCCUCUGAUGGAUGAGAUUCAUCUUCACUUAUCUGUCUGUAGUUGC